GAGUUUGAUCCUGGCUCAGGAUGAACGCUGGCGGCGUGCCUAAUACAUGCAAGUCGAGCGGUAAGGCCCUUCGGGGUACACGAGCGGCGGACGGCUGAGUAACACGUAGGAACGUACCCCAAAGUGAGGGAUAAGCACCAGAAAUGGUGUCUAAUACCGCAUGUGCUCUAAGGAGUAAAGCUCCGGCGCUUUGGGAACGGCCUGCGCAUGAUUAGCUAGAUGGUGAGGUAAUGGCUCACCAUGGCGACGAUCAUUAGCUGGUCUGAGAGGAUGAUCAGCCAGACUGGGACUGAGACACGGCCCAGACUCCUACGGGAGGCAGCAGUAGGGAAUUUUCCACAAUGGGCGAAAGCCUGAUGGAGCAACGCCGCGUGCAGGAUGAAUGCCUUCGGGUUGUAAACUGCUUUUAUAUGUGACGAAUAUGACGGUAGCAUAUGAAUAAGGAUCGGCUAACUCCGUGCCAGCAGCCGCGGUCAUACGGAGGAUCCAAGCGUUAUCCGGAAUUACUGGGCGUAAAGAGUUGCGUAGGCGGCAUAGUAAGCAGAUAGUGAAAGCGUGUGGCUCAACCAUACUCACAUUAUCUGAACUGCUAAGCUAGAGGACGAGAGAGGUCACUGGAAUUCCUAGUGUAGGAGUGAAAUCCGUAGAUAUUAGGAGGAACACCAAUGGCGUAGGCAGGUGACUGGCUCGUUCCUGACGCUCAGGCACGAAAGCGUGGGGAGCAAACGGGAUUAGAUACCCCGGUAGUCCACGCCGUAAACGAUGGAUGCUAGCUGUUAGAGGUAUCGACCCCUCUAGUAGCGAAGCUAACGCGUUAAGCAUCCCGCCUGUGGAGUACGGUCGCAAGACUAAAACAUAAAGGAAUUGACGGGGACCCGCACAAGCGGUGGAGCGUGUUGUUUAAUUCGAUGGUAAGCGAAGAACCUUACCCAGGCUUGACAUCCUUGGAGCACUGCGAAAGCAGCGUGUGCCU
rnacentral:rRNA from 1 species